rnacentral:misc_RNA from 1 species
CCUAGCUACUGUUCCCCUUUUCUUUAUUUUCCCUAAGCCCUCACUACUGCCUAAAAACAAACCACGACCAUCCGAACACCAAAUUACCGCACCACCACCCUCAAACAAAUGUUCAUGAGAAGCUGCACAUAAACCCAUUUGAGAUCAUGCUUGCUGUUUGCAUCUGAUUAAACCUGAUUUUGUGCCUUCUCUCUGCCACAUCAAACGCCACACCACCUGCUAAUAUACUGGCACAUCACUUGAUUGAUACAUACAUUUUGCAUAGUCAUUUAG